rnacentral:rRNA from 1 species
UACGUAGGUGGCGAGCGUUGUCCGGAUUUACUGGGCGUAAAGGGAGCGUAGGCGGACUUUUAAGUGAGAUGUGAAAUACCCGGGCUCAACUUGGGUGCUGCAUUUCAAACUGGAAGUCUAGAGUGCAGGAGAGGAGAAUGGAAUUCCUAGUGUAGCGGUGAAAUGCGUAGAGAUUAGGAAGAACACCAGUGGCGAAGGCGGCUCUCUGGACUGUAACUGACGCUGAGGCACGAAAGCGUGGGGAGCAAACAGGAUUAGAUACCCGGGGUAGUCCCU